rnacentral:rRNA from 1 species
GACGAACGCUGGCGGCGUGCUUAACACAUGCAAGUCGAACGGAAAGGCCCUGCUUUUGUGGGGUGCUCGAGUGGCGCACGGGUGAGUAACCCGUGAGUAACCUGCCCUUGACUUUGGGAUAACUUCAGAAAACUGGGGCUAAUACCGGAUAGGAGCUCCUGCUGCAUGGGGGGGGUUGGAAAGUUUCGGCGGUUGGGGAUGGACUCGCGGCUUAUCAGCUUGUUGGUGGGGUAGUGGCUUACCAAGGCUUUGACGGGUAGCCGGCCUGAGAGGGUGACCGGCCACAUGGGGACUGAGAUACGGCCCAGACUCCUACGGGAGGCAGCAGUGGGGAAUAUUGCACAAUGGGCGGAAGCCUGAUGCAGCAACGCCGCGUGCGGGAUGACGGCCUUCGGGUUGUAAACCGCUGUCGCCUGUGACGAAGCGUGAGUGACGGUAAUGGGUAAAGAAGCACCGGCUAACUACGUG